UCGCACAAUCAAAGACGCGCACCCCCUUCCCCAUCAAGCAGAUGCUCUUGCCGCCUUGGGAGGAAAUGCCUAUUUUUCAACCAUGGACCUCACAUCUGGCUACUAUAAUGUAGAAGUUCAUGAAGAUGACCGGAAAUACACAGCAUUUACAUCACCUUUCGGGUUAUACGAAUAUAAUCGUUUACCACAGGGCCUGUGUAACAGUCCGGCCACUUUUAUGCGGAUGAUGUUGACUAUAUUCGGGGAUCAGAAUUUCAACAGCCUAUUAUGUUAUCUGGAUGACGUCCUGGUAUUUGCACCCACCGAAGAGCUGGCAUUGGAGAGAUUAGAAAUGGUGUUUAAGCGUCUCAAGACUCACAAUCUCAAGCUUGCUCAGAAGAAAUGUCACUUCUUGCGGAGUUCGGUAAAAUUUUUGGGUCACAUCAUCAGUGCGGACGGUAUUGCUACCGAUCCAGAAAAAGUUGCAGCCAUUGCUUCUGUCACUGAGGAAGAUCUCAUGGUUGAGGGUACCAAUGUCCCCUGCCAGCAGAAAAUAAGGUCUUUUCUGGGUAUGGUAGUGUUUUACCAGCAGUUUAUUGAAGACUGUUCGGCCAUUGCCAAACCAUUGUUCAGUCUUACAGCUGGAAGAAAGGCUCCUCGUGGAAAAUGGAAACGUCGAAUGUGUCAGAGAGAGUUGUCUGCUUCAGAUUGGACUGAGGAAUGCAGUCGAGCAUUUCACAAACUAAAGCAGGCUUUGCUUGAUCAGGUCUUGUUGGCUCAUCCAAAUUUCAAUGAAACCUUCCUACUCUCAGUAGAUGCUUCUAGUAAUGGACUUGGAGCCGUAUUGUCACAGGUCCCUAGCAAUGGGACGACGGCCAGGCCAAUUGCUUUUGCGAGCAAGUCGCUUACCUAUGCUCAGUCGAGAUAUCCUGCACAUAGGUUGGAAUUUUAUGCCAUGAAAUGGGCAAUUUGUGACAAAUUCCAUCACUGGCUCAGGGGUCAGAAAUUUACUGUUUGGACAGACAACAACCCUUUAACGUAUAUUCUGUCCAAGGCAAAAUUGGAUGCUUGUGAACACAGAUGGGUUGCUAAA
ensembl:lncRNA